UGCAACUCUAAUUAUUGUAAGGAGGGAUGGCUCUCCUUUUUCCUCAGCAGGGUUGAGGAGAGGUGCGUCCCUGAUGUGCGCGUAUAAGAGAGACCAUGGGCGCACCUUUGGAACCCGCAUUCAGACAAAAGAAUAAGAGAAACAGCUCCUGGUUCAGCACCUCUGUGAUUUUUCCUGUAUUGCUUCUCGUCUUGUCAUCAUCUAGUCGGACACAGCAGUUGGCCGCUCGUACUAAGCCUGGUUCUGCUAGAGGAUCCCAAUGGUUCACAGGAAGUGGUUCCUUUCCACUGUCACCACAUGUUUACUCAGGAUGAGUAAUUGUGGCAAAGUCAGGGACUCAAUCAGCUGGACUUCCUUAGAUAGAUACCUCUUUAUAACAAUUACCAGUUGGAACUAGGACUCUAUAUUGUAGAGUGUGGUAUUGGAUAUGAGUAUAACUAUGUGAUUUGGUUCUGUUGUGAUGAACUAAAAUGAUCCUAACUGUAUUUGGACUGAAAUGAAUUCUAUUAAACUGUAAAUGAAUUGGA